ACUGGGCAUGGUGGCACACGCCUGUAAUCCCAGCCUCUUGGAAGGCUGAGGCAGGAGGAUUGCGAGUUCAAAGUCAGUCUCAGCAACUUAUAGAGGCAACUCAGUGAGACCCUGUCUCUA
rnacentral:sRNA from 1 species